rnacentral:rRNA from 1 species
GUCGAACGCUGUCGGGGUUUUGGCCCCGGCGGAGUGGCGCACGGGUGAGUAGCGCGUGGGAACCUGCCUUGGAGUGGGGGAUAACCGAGGGAAACUUCGGCUAAUACCGCAUGCGCCCCCGGACGAGCCGCGAGGCGAGCUCCGGGGGGAAAGAUUUAUCGCUCCGAGAGGGGCCCGCGUGGGAUUAGGUUGUUGGUGGGGUAAUGGCCUGCCAAGCCGAGGAUCCGUCGCUGGUCUGAGAGGAUGAUCAGCCACACUGGGACUGAGACACAGCCCAAACCCCUACGGUAGGCAGCAGUGGGGAAUAUUGGACAAUGGGCGAAAGCCUGAUCCAGCAAUGCCGCGUGAGUGAUGAAGGCCUUAGGGUUGUAAAGCUCUUUUACCCGGGAUGAUAAUGACAGUACCGGGAGAAUAAGCCCCGGCUAACUCCGUGCCAGCAGCCGCCGUAAAAC